rnacentral:rRNA from 1 species
GACGAACGCUGGCGGCGUGCUUAACACAUGCAAGUCGAACGGAAAGGCCCUGCUUUUGUGGGGUGCUCGAGUGGCGAACGGGUGAGUAACACGUGAGUAACCUGCCCUUGACUUUGGGAUAACUUCAGGAAACUGGGGCUAAUACCGGAUAGGAGCUCCUGCUGCAUGGUGGGGGUUGGAAAGUUUCGGCGGUUGGGGAUGGACUCGCGGCUUAUCAGCUUGUUGGUGGGGUAGUGGCUUACCAAGGCUUUGACGGGUAGCCGGCCUGGGAGGGUGACCGGCCACAUUGGGCCUGCGAUACGGCCCAGACUCCUACGGGAGGCAGCAGUGGGGAAUAUUGCACAAUGGGCGGACGCCUGAUGCAGCAACGCCGCGUGCGGGAUGACGGCCUUCGGGUUGUAAACCGCUUUCGCCUGUGACGAAGCGUGAGUGACGGUAAUGGGUAAAGAAGCACCGGCUAACUACGUG